rnacentral:lncRNA from 1 species
UUGAAUAUGUUGGCUUCCCCAUGGGAGCCCGUGGGAAAUUAUUUGAGUUGCUGACCGCACUUAAGAGAGUCAUAGCUACACCCACCAUUUACCCGCGCUUCGUAGAAGUUCUUCAGUUUGACAUUCAGAGCACUGGGCAGAAAUCACAUUGCAUCAAAACCCACCUCUGGCCUUUGCGAUGCUUUGUCUAAAUUAAACAGUCGGAUUCCCCUCGUCUGCACCAGUUCUAAGCCAGCUGCUAGGCGCCGGCUGAGACAGGGCACCGGCCCAGGGAGUCUGACCGGGGACCCUCCCCCGCACGAACUGUGGGAGGCCGUGCGCGCCGUGGGGACCCCACCAGCAGGAACUGGGGGCGGCAGCAUGGCGACGACGGCAGCCGCCACUGGGGCGCCGUCCGCGGCAAGGCAGAGGCCGAGCGGAGGGGGUGGCGGGCCACGCCUGCCGCAGCUGGGGCGAUCCACAGGAAGGGCCCGGCACGUGUCCAGAGUCGCCGCCGCGCACAUGCGUGCCCUGGUGCCCAGGCGGGCCACGCAGAGUGCACUCACCCGCACACAGCGCCUCAUCCAGCUGCGGUGCGCGCCCAGCCCAGCUUCAUGCCCCAGCCCGACGGACCCAACCCUUAGAGCCAAUCCUUAUCCCGAAGUUAUGGAUCCGGCUUGCCGACUUCCCUUACCUACGUUGUUCCAACAUGCCAGAGGCUGUUCACCUUGGAGACCUGCUGUGGAUAUGGGUACGCUUUCCAAGGCGCAAAUAAAAGAGAACUCUCCCCGGGGCUCCAACCGGCUUCUCCGGGAUCGGUUGCGUCACCGCACUGGGUGCCUCACGGCACCUGUUUCCGCCGGUCCGGAUUCGGGGAUCUGAACCUGACUCGCUUUCGAUUGGCUGAGGACAACAGAGGCCAUCGUCCGCCAUUUCGGAACGGCGCUCGCCUAUCGCUUAGGACCGACUGACCCAUGUUCAACUGCUGUUGACAUGGAACCCUGCUCCACUUCGGCCUUCAAAACUCUCGUUUGAAUAUUUGCUACUACCACCAAGAUCUGCACCUGCGGCGGCUCCACCCAGGCCCACGCCCCAGGCUUCGAGGCGCACUGCAGCGGCCCUCCUACUCGUCGCGGCUUAGCCCCCGCGGGCAUCGCACUGCCGGUGACGGCCAGGUAUGGGCCCGACGCUCCAGCACCAUCCAUUUUCAGGGCCAGUUGAUUCAGCAGGUGAGUUGUUACACACUCCUUAGUGGAUUCCGAUUUCCAUGGCCACCGUCCUGCUGUCUAGAUCAACCAACACCUUUUCUGGGCUCUGAUGAGCAUCAGCAUCGGGUGCCUUAACUUGGCGUUCGGUUCAUCCCACAGCACCAGUUCUGCUUACCAGAAGUGGUCCACCGAGCA